CUUUUGUACCUGGAGUGCAAUCACUUGUAUCCAUUGCCAUAACUCUAUGUUCUUCUUGCAUUUGUUGGAUUGCAAUGUUUUGAUCAUGCCUAAGCUUUCGUCCGGCCUCUAGUAUUUCUACUUGAUUAUUAUAAUUAGAUUCCGCAUUAGAACUAGGCGACGCCUAUUCUUUGCCUUUACGGGCUUUUUUCGAUCCGAUAGGUCUCUUACUACGUUGGUCAGUAUGUGUAUCCACUGGUGGUAGCUCAUCCCGUAAAACAUACGGUGGUGGAGAAUAACUGGUGGGGAAUUCAUUGGUUGAGAUGAAGGAAAUGUGGACUGCGAAUGAAAUAACUCCAUUUCAAUUCCAUCCACCAUAUCUUCUUGCGCAUUUAGCAUCACCCAAUCCUUACCAACUUCCCAACAACGUUGCAAGUUGAAAGCUUUUUUAGCAUUUCUUCGAUAGAUACUCAAUGCCAGAGUAUACUACAAAUACAAACUAAAAAUUAAUAUACUUCAUGCAAAUAUAUAAAUAAUACAAAAUACUAUUAUCAUAACAUUUACCUCAUCGACCAGGUUUCCUCCGCUACCGCAAAC
rnacentral:lncRNA from 1 species